rnacentral:misc_RNA from 1 species
UUAUUUACUUUUUCACUUAUUCAGCUCACAUAACAUAUAAAAUAGAAUGUUUAUAUUCGUAAUGAGCGAAAAUAAGGACAGUUUGAAAUUGUUUUAUGAAAGAAACAGCUUUUUCUCUUCUUAACAAUGUAAAAAUUUUGUGAUAAAAUUUAAACGAAGCUCUAAAAGGCCAUUGUCAAUUUUCUCAAACACAAACGAGAGCUGAACUGUAUAAUAAUUAAGGAAAAGGAUAUAGUAUUGAAGAGGAGAAGACAGGGUCCUUCGAUAGAUAUGUGGAUUGCAAUCUUAUUACUUAAGACUUAGCUUCAAGGUUACCUUUAAUAUUUACACGAUUCGGUGAAUACUCUCUAUUCGAAUAAUGAUAAAAAUCUCAGAAAGAUUCUUUCGUUUUAUUGUUUUAUAUACUAUACAUGAUAAAAUCUUUAUGAUAAGAAUAAAGUAAAUGCAAAAUCUCUUAAAAGUUUCACUCCAUCGUUCCUAUCAGAUUCUUUUAUAGUUAGCCAACAUCUUAACGCUGAAUAACAUAAUCUAAAAAAAUAUAGAAAUAAAACAUUAUUCCGUAGAAAAUAUUAAAAAGUAUAUAAAAUAUUAUCAAAAUACAAAAAAAUUAUUGAUCUAUUUGAGUAAGCUGCUAGUUUCAACUUUUUCUUAUCUGAAUAUUUUUGAUAACAGCUUGAAUAUUCUAACUAUAUUGUUCAAUUUUUUUUUCCAGACAGUCUUUUUUUUCUGAUAAUUCCUCGUUCAAAAUGCCUCUAAAAAUCUUUGGAAGAAAAAAGGGUAAGGAAAAAAAACAAGAAUACGAAAAAGAUGCCGCAUUAACAGAAGAAGAAGCAAAGGCUAUACCGCAAUUAACAAGACGUGAUAGAAACGUCUCGAUCUCAAAAUCUGGAAGGCACAAAAUGCAAAAAGGCAACAGGAAAAGUGUUUUGGAAAACGAUAUCUUUCAAAGAAGUACAAAAGGAGAGGAAGGUAAUGCCAGUGACGCAACAUCUGUGUCUGAAAGUGUGACUUCAACAGGCAAUUGCUCUACUACUUCACAUGGAUAUUAAGACUUCCUGCAAAUGCAUUUUUUGAUGAAAAAUUGUGUACAUUGUUUUCUUGCAGAAACAUUUCCAAUGCAUAUAUCAAUGAAAACUAUACUCAUUAGAUGUAUAAUUUACUUAAGUAACUAAUAUGAAUAUUGUUAUGUGCCAUUUUACAAAAAUAGUAAUGAUUGAAGGAAGGAAAUAGAAGCUUGUAAAAAAAGAAAAUCGAAACAAAUACAAGUUCCUAUUCAUAUUUCUCACUAAUAUUAACUUUCUUUCUAUAGAAUAUUAGCAAUUCUUUAUCUAUAAAAUUAUAAGAUGUUUCAGCCUAUAAAUUGUAAAAAAAGAAAUACUGUAAGGUAUUGAGAUUCAACGUUUAUAACUUAUUAAAAAUAUAAAACUAUCUUUUAUGUAUUAAGUUUAGUAUAUUGUAUUACUUUUUAAAUUAAAUGUCAUACACUUA